CCCUUAGAUGUUCUGGGCCGCACGCGUGCUACACUGAGUGGAUCAGCGGGUCAGGUUGCGCGAAAGCGUUUCCUAAUCUUUAAAUCCGCUCGUGAUGGGGAUUGACGGUUGCAAUUUUCUGUCAUGAACGAGGAAUACCUUGUAAGCGCGGGUCAUCAUCCCGCGCUGAAUACGUCCCUGCCCUUUGUACACACCGCCCGUCGCUCCUACCGAUUGAGUGGUCCGGUGAGGCUUUGGGUUCUGAGCGGAAAGAGCGUUUCGCUGUUUCUGCUCGGAAAACUCAGUCGAACCUUAUCAUUUAGAGGAAGGAGAAGUCGUAACA
rnacentral:rRNA from 1 species